AGGUAAGCUACUAAGAGCGAAUGGUGGAUGCCUUGACUGGUAAAGGCGAUGAAGGACGUACUAGACUGCGAUAAGCUACGGGGAGCUGUCAAGAAGCUUUGAUCCGUAGAUUUCCGAAUGGGGCAACCCAAUGUAUAGAGAUAUACAUUACCUAUAUAGGAGCGAACGAGGGGAAUUGAAACAUCUUAGUACCCUCAGGAAAAGAAAUCAAUAGAGAUUGCGUCAGUAGCGGCGAGCGAAAGCGCAAGAGGGCAAACCCAGUGCUUGCACUGGGGGUUGUAGGACUGCAAUGUGCAAGAGGUAAGUUUAGCAGAACAUUCUGGAAAGUAUAACCAUAGAGGGUGAUAGUCCCGUAUGCGAAAAACAAACCUUAGCUAGCAGUAUCCUGAGUAGGGCGGGACACGAGGAAUCCUGUCUGAAUCCGGGUCGACCACGAUCCAACCCUAAAUACUAAUACCAGAUCGAUAGUGCACAAGUACCGUGAGGGAAAGGUGAAAAGAACUGAGGUGAUCAGAGUGAAAUAGAACCUGAAACCAUUUGCUUACAAUCAUUCAGAGCCUUAUGUAGCAAUACAGGGUGAUGGACUGCCUUUUGCAUAAUGAGCCUGCGAGUUGUGGUGUCUGGCAAGGUUAAGCAAACGCGAAGCCGUAGCGAAAGCGAGUCUGAAUAGGGCGCUUAGUCAGAUGCUGCAGACCCGAAACGAAGUGAUCUAUCCAUGAGCAAGUUGAAGCUAGUGUAAGAACUAGUGGAGGACUGAACCCAUAGGCGUUGAAAAGCCCCGGGAUGACUUGUGGAUAGGGGUGAAAGGCCAAUCAAACUUCGUGAUAGCUGGUUCUCUCCGAAAUAUAUUUAGGUAUAGCGUUGUGUCGUAAUAUAAGGGGGUAGAGCACUGAAUGGGCUAGGGCAUACACCAAUGUACCAAACCCUAUCAAACUCCGAAUACCUUAUAUGUAAUCACAGCAGUCAGGCGGCGAGUGAUAAAAUCCGUCGUCAAGAGGGAAACAACCCAGACUACCAGCUAAGGUCCCUAAAUCUUACUUAAGUGGAAAACGAUGUGAAGUUACUUAAACAACCAGGAGGUUGGCUUAGAAGCAGCCAUCCUUUAAAGAAAGCGUAAUAGCUCACUGGUCUAGUGAUUUUGCGCGGAAAAUAUAACGGGGCUAAAGUAAGUACCGAAGCUGUAGACUUAGUUUACUAAGUGGUAGGAGAGCGUUCUAUUUGCGUCGAAGGUAUACCGGUAAGGAGUGCUGGAGCGAAUAGAAGUGAGCAUGCAGGCAUGAGUAGCGAUAAUUAAUGUGAGAAUCAUUAACGCCGUAAACCCAAGGUUUCCUACGCGAUGCUCGUCAUCGUAGGGUUAGUCGGGUCCUAAGUCGAGUCCGAAAGGGGUAGACGAUGGCAAAUUGGUUAAUAUUCCAAUACCAACAUUAGUGUGCGAUGGAAGGACGCUUAGGGCUAAGGGGGCUAGCGGAUGGAAGUGCUAGUCUAAGGUCGUAGGAGGUUAUACAGGCAAAUCCGUAUAACAAUACUCCGAGAACUGAAAGGCUUUUUGAAGUCUUCGGAUGGAUAGAAGAACCCCUGAUGCCGUCGAGCCAAGAAAAGUUUCUAAGUUUAGCUAAUGUUGCCCGUACCGUAAACCGACACAGGUGGGUGGGAUGAGUAUUCUAAGGCGCGUGGAAGAACUCUCUUUAAGGAACUCUGCAAAAUAGCACCGUAUCUUCGGUAUAAGGUGUGGUUAGCUUUGUAUUAGGAUUUACUCCGAAAGCAAGGAAACUUACAACAAAGAGUCCCUCCCGACUGUUUACCAAAAACACAGCACUCUGCUAACUCGUAAGAGGAUGUAUAGGGUGUGACGCCUGCCCGGUGCUCGAAGGUUAAUUGAUGGGGUUAGCAUUAGCGAAGCUCUUGAUCGAAGCCCGAGUAAACGGCGGCCGUAACUAUAACGGUCCUAAGGUAGCGAAAUUCCUUGUCGGUUAAAUACCGACCUGCAUGAAUGGCGUAACGAGAUGGGAGCUGUCUCAAAGAGGGAUCCAGUGAAAUUGUAGUGGAGGUGAAAAUUCCUCCUACCCGCGGCAAGACGGAAAGACCCCGUGGACCUUUACUACAGCUUGACACUGCUACUUGGAUAAGAAUGUGCAGGAUAGGUGGGAGGCUUUGAGUAUAUGACGCCAGUUGUAUAUGAGCCAUUGUUGAGAUACCACUCUUUCUUAUUUGGGUAGCUAACCAGCUUGAGUUAUCCUCAAGUGGGACAAUGUCUGGUGGGUAGUUUGACUGGGGCGGUCGCCUCCCAAAUAAUAACGGAGGCUUACAAAGGUUGGCUCAGAACGGUUGGAAAUCGUUCGUAGAGUAUAA
rnacentral:rRNA from 1 species